GACGUCAGAGGCAAGCGGCGUCAGAGCGUCCAUUCGAGAAGAGCGCUGGGAAGAGGUAGACGUAGCGUUGCGUCCCGAAAUUAUAUUAGUGUUUCGGUACAUAUUUACCCAUCGACACAAUUACUUCAGACAAAAUGCCACCGAAGACUAAGAUCUUCGUUGGCAAGCUGCCGCCAACAUGUAAGGAUUUUGAGCUGCGAAAAUUGUUCGAGCGUUUUGGUGAAGUCACAGAAUGUUCAAUCCUAGGCAAUUAUGCCUUCGUACACAUGAAGACAGAAGAUCAGGCAGGCAAUGCUAUCAGGAACUUGAACAACUGGGACCUCAAUGGCUUCAAAAUUAGUGUAGAGCAAUCCACGGGAGAGAAGCGAGCAGGUGGUAUGGGUGGAAUGGCUGGUGGAAGAGGUAUGGGUGGGGGCUUCCGAGGGCGUGGUGGCCCAAUGAGGGGAAGAGGCAUGGGCAGACCAGGACCAUAUGACCGCAGACCACCUAUGGGUGAUCGAUAUGGCCCACCUCCCCCUGGGCCCCCGCCACCUGCACCUCCCAUGAGAAAUGGGUAUUAUGAUGAUUAUGAGCGCAGAGAUCGUCGCCCACUGCCUCCUGCAGGUGGUUUGGACAGGCGCCCCCCACCCCCUCCCAUGCCCAGGGAGCCAGCAUACAGAGAUCCCUAUGACCGAUACGAUUCGUAUGAACGCAUGCCUCCUCCACCUAUGGGCCGACGCACCCCACCACCUAUGGACAGGCGGCCACCUCCCAUGGGCUAUGAUCGCAGAGACGACCCUUACGGAGACAUGUAUGGACCACGAGCUGAGCGUGACAUGUAUGGAGGUGGACGGGAAAUGUUCCCUCCUCGUGGAAGAUCCCCUCCUCGACGCAGUCCACCACGCCGGUUAAACUGGGACAUGACCAGUAUGGGUUGAUGACAUCCAGUUGAACCCAGAUGAAGGUUGUGAAGCAGCCCAAAGCCUGACACUUUGGUGGUAGUCGUCACCUGGAAUUGCAGUUGCCCUCAACGAAGGAGGUUUUGAAAUGGGAAUCCAUGGUUGAGGACUGUCGUAUGCUACAAUUCACUUGAAUGGAUCUUGGAGCAAGAAAAAUACAAGAGCUUCCAUUAGAAUAUUAAUUUUGUAUUUUUACUCAGAUUCUACUACUUUCUUGGUUAAAUUAUAGAAAUCCUCAGUAAUCAGUAAUUUAUUUUUAAUAUCAUGGCUCAGGGUUUAAGUAAGGUGAUAUUGUAUUGUAUGCAAUAAAAGGAAA